UUUUCAAAAAUUUAAGGAAGAUCGAUGUGCGAGUUAAGACUAAGACGGAUUUUAGGAGUUUUGAUGACAAAGAAUCAACCAUUGGAAAUAUGGCUCUUUGAACUUGGAUCUCAUUGUUGAUGCAUGCAAGAUGGUGGGCUAAAGAAGAAAACCAGGACAAAAGAAAAUUCCUAGUGUUCAUCAGAAAAAAUAAUCAUGCAGCCAUUUUGAGUGCUUGAAUGUCCAACUGAGAGAGCCAGCCAGUUCAAAAAAUAUUUCUUGGAAGUUAAACAAAUUCUGCUGUGACAAUUGAAUUAAAGCUUUAAAAGUACAUUUAAAAACAUUCUGAUUCAUCUAUAAGUGAGACUAGAUUGCCUUUGACAGUUGCCAGUGGAAUUCAGAUCUUCUAAAUUGUACCAGUAUUAAUAAAUUGAAGUGAGUUGCCUUAAAAAUAACAUUUGUAUAUGGUGUACAUUACUUCAAGAAGAUAUAGCACACCUGUUUAAACAGUGAUGUCCAUAGCUAAACAUGGAUAUGGAAUUUAGCUCACCUGAUCCAAAGGCUCAAUUGCACAAUUCUGAUAAAAAGAAGUCUCUGGUAUCCAACAAUGCAACAUUUAUGUUUUGACUGUUUGUCCUCCAUUAACUUUUAACAUUUUCUUUUUUUUUCUAACAUUUGGUCAAUGUAAACCACAUUUGGUACAAUGUAUCUCUGCUUAAAAGGAAUAAAGCUUAUUCAAAUAAA